GGGCCUGUAGCUCAGUUGGUCAGAGCAUGCGCUUGAUAAGCGCAGGGUCACUGGUUCGAGCCCAGUCAGGCCCA
rfam:Methylacidiphilum infernorum V4, complete genome.